rnacentral:rRNA from 1 species
CCUACGGGUGGCAGCAGUGGGGAAUAUUGGACAAUGGGCGAAAGCCUGAUCCAGCCAUGCCGCGUGUGUGAAGAAGGCCUUCGGGUUGUAAAGCACUUUCAGUGGGGAAGAAAGCCUUGGGGCUAAUACCCUCGAGGAAGGACAUCACCCACAGAAGAAGCACCGGCUAACUCCGGCCAGCAGCCGCGGUAAUACGGAGGGUGCGAGCGUUAAUCGGAAUUACUGGGCGUAAAGCGCGCGUAGGCGGUCUGAUAAGCCGGUUGUGAAAGCCCCGGGCUCAACCUGGGAACGGCAUCCGGAACUGUCAGGCUAGAGUGCAGGAGAGGAAGGUAGAAUUCCCGGUGUAGCGGUGAAAUGCGUAGAGAUCGGGAGGAAUACCAGUGGCGAAGGCGGCCUUCUGGACUGACACUGACGCUGAGGUGCGAAAGCGUGGGUAGCGAACAGGAUUAGAUACCCUUGUAGUC